UACGUAGGAGGCAAGCGUUGUCCGGAGUUACUGGGCGUAAAGCGCACGCAGGCGGUUCAGUCAGUCUGUAGGGACAGGGCACAGCUCAACUGUGUCAGGCUUACGGAAACUGCUGAACUUGAGGGCUUCAGAGGGAUGGGGAAUUCCGGGUGGAGUGGUGAAAUGCGUAGAGAUCCGGAAGAACACCAGUGGCGAAGGCGACUCACUGGACACGUAUUGACGCUGAGGUGCGAAAGCGUGGGGAGCAAACAGGG
rnacentral:rRNA from 1 species